CAGGCCUAACACAUGCAAGUCGAGGGGCAGCAUGGGGGUUGCUUGCAACUUCCGAUGGCGACCGGCGCACGGGUGAGUAACGCGUAUCCAACCUUCCCCAUAGUAGGGGAUAGCCCGUAGAAAUGCGGAUUAAUACCCUAUGUUCUCCGAAGAGGACAUCUGAUUUGGAGUAAAGAUUUAUCGCUAUGGGAUGGGGACGCGUCUGAUUAGGCUGCAGGCGGGGUAACGGCCCACCUGGCCUACGAUCAGUAGGGGUUCUGAGAGGAAGGUCCCCCACACUGGUACUGAGACACGGACCAGACUCCUACGGGAGGCAGCAGUGAGGAAUAUUGGUCAAUGGGCGUAAGCCUGAACCAGCCAAGUAGCGUGAGGGAUGACGGCCCUACGGGUUGUAAACCUCUUUUGUUCGGGAAUAACGUGCGGCACGCGUGCCGCUUUGCAUGUACCGUUCGAAUAAGGACCGGCUAAUUCCGUGCCAGCAGCCGCGGUAAUACGGAGGAUGCGAGCGUUAUCCGGAUUCAUUGGGUUUAAAGGGUGCGCAGGCGGACGAUUAAGUCAGCGGUGAAAAGUAUGCGCUCAACGCAUAUCGUGCCGUUGAAACUGGUUGACUAGGAUACGUAUGCUGUGGGAGGAAUGUGUAGUGUAGCGGUGAAAUGCAUAGAUAUUACACAGAACACCGAUUGCGAAGGCAUCUCACAAAUACGUCAUUGACGCUGAGGCACGAAAGUGCGGGGAUCAAACAGGAUUAGAUACCCUGGUAGUCCGCACAGUAAACGAUGAUAACUCGCUGUUGGCUCGCAAGAGUCAGUGGCCAAGCGAAAGCGAUAAGUUAUCCACCUGGGGAGUACGACCGCAAGGUUGAAACUCAAAGGAAUUGACGGGGGCCCGCACAAGCGGAGGAACAUGUGGUUUAAUUCGAUGAUACGCGAGGAACCUUACCCGGGCUCGAACGGCAGAUGAAGGACCCAGAGAUGGGGACGCUCUUCGGAGCAUCUGUCGAGGUGCUGCAUGGUUGUCGUCAGCUCGUGCCGUGAGGUGUCGGCUUAAGUGCCAUAACGAGCGCAACCCUUGUUGUCAGUUACCAGCGCGUAAAGGCGGGGACUCUGGCGAGACUGCCACCGCAAGGUGUGAGGAAGGCGGGGAUGACGUCAAAUCAGCACGGCCCUUACGUCCGGGGCGACACACGUGUUACAAUGGCAACUGCAGAGGGAAGCCACCUGGUGACAGGGAGCAGAUCUCGAAAAGUUGUCUCAGUUCGGAUUGGAGUCUGCAACUCGACUCCAUGAAGCUGGAUUCGCUAGUAAUCGCGCAUCAGCCAUGGCGCGGUGAAUACGUUCCCGG
rnacentral:rRNA from 1 species